rnacentral:rRNA from 1 species
UACGGAAGGCAGCAGUGGGGAAUAUUGCACAAUGGGCGCAAGCCUGAUGCAGCCAUGCCGCGUGUAUGAAGAAGGCCUUCGGGUUGUAAAGUGCUUUCAGUCGUGAGGAAGGUGUUAAGGUUAAUAACCUUAGCAAUUGACGUUAGCGACAGAAGAAGCACCGGCUAACUCCGUGCCAGCAGCCGCGGUAAUACGGAGGGUGCGAGCGUUAAUCGGAAUUACUGGGCGUAAAGGGCACGCAGGCGGUUAAUUAAGUUGGAUGUGAAAUCCCCGGGCUUAACCUGGGAAUGGCAUUCAAGACUGGUUAGCUAGAGUCUUGUAGAGGGGGUUAGAAUUCCAUGUGUAGCGGUGAAAUGCGUAGAGAUGUGGAGGAAUACCGGUGGCGAAGGCGGCCCCUGGACAAAGGACUGACGCUCAUGUGCGAAAGCGUGGGGAGCAAACGAGGAUUAGAUACCCGGU